CCUACGGGGGACAGCAGUGAGGAAUAUUGGUCAAUGGACGCAAGUCUGAACCAGCCAUGCCGCGUGCAGGAAGACGGUGCUAUGAGUUGUAAACUGCUUUUGUACGAGGAUAAACGCAGAUACGUGUGUCUGUCUGAGAGUAUCGUACGAAUAAGCAUCGGCUAACUCCGUGCCAGCAGCCGCGGUAAUACGGAGGAUUCAAGCGUUAUCCGGAUUUAUUGGGUUUAAAGGGUGCGUAGGCGGUCGGAUAAGUUAGAGGUGAAAUCCCGAGGCUCAACUUCGGAAUUGCCUUUGAUACUGUCCGGCUAGAGAGUAGUUGCGGUAGGCGGAAUGUAUGGUGUAGCGGUGAAAUGCUUAGAGAUCAUACAGAACACCGAUUGCGAAGGCAGCUUACCAA
rnacentral:rRNA from 1 species